AUUGAAAGUAAAUGAAAUCAAAAAUACUCAGUUUUUCUUCCUUUGCUUUUCUACUUCAACAGCUGAUAAAAUAGGAUACCCGAUGAAAAGCAUUAACAAUCCACAACUCAGAAGAAUUAAAGUCAAAAUAUUUACAAAUCCACGCAAAGUAAAAAUAUUCAAAUCGCGGCCAUCAUAGAAAUCUUCAUUGUGCAAAAUAUCAUCGACUUCCUUAACACUAGGAUCCCAUAAAAGUGUAGCAGACUGCAUAGUCACCGGAGACUCCACGGUUCCCAAGGAACUAGCACUGCCAAAUGCUGAUUCUGAUGGCCCAGUCAGUUGUGCUGAGGCAAUUUCAUCUGUAUAAGGAGAAUACUUUUUCUCUGAAAAAUCCUUGACAUGAAAGUCAGAAACAGAAUCCAUCGGCUGUAUAUCAUGGCCUACGGGCUCUAGGUCUUCUGAUUCCCAAAUGUCAUCGUCGUAAGGCUCCUCAUCACCGGCUGAAACUUCGUUAGCCAACUCGUAAUUCAAUUCAUUAUCGAGCAUAUCAUCUGGCCUUAAACUUUCAUUAUAGUCUAUAGGUGACUGAGACAUUUUUUUCUAAUUAGUACUCUGCCUCAGUUGUUUGGUUGUUUACAAAGGAAUUUACUCAGCCGAAAUAAAAUACCAAUCACCUUAGAAUACGU